UUGAAAAAUUCUCCGUUCAUAAAUCAACUGAACUGCAGGUGAUCCCUGGGCGGGAGCAGCUGAGGAAAAGACACAGCUCGGCAGGCCAGCAACUAGGAGCCCCCGCCCCCCCAGCAGCAGUGGGGCUGGGGGGCAGGUUGGCUCUGGGUGAGGCUGGGAUUGGUGUCCAUGUCCCCAGGGCUGCAUGCUGGGGACUUUGGGGCAGGAAAAGGAGCUGCCACCUUGGGAUGGGCUUCUCAGUGCUGGCAGCAUCCCUGCACGGGCAGGGGAUGGUCGUGGCUGGAAAAAUCUCCCCCCACAAGCCAGCUCCUGCAGCAUCUUGCUGUGGGCAAGAUGGGGACCAGUUUGGACAAACCCAGGUGUGCUUUCCUCACUGCCCCCUCUCUGCCGGUCCGUGAGCUGAGAUGUGACCCUGUGGACACCGAAAAGGAGCUUGUGCCCUUGAGAUGCAUGGACGGCUCCAAGGACCAGGCUGGUGGCAGCAGGCUGAGCCUUACAGUGGAGGAAAGGAUCCGGUCAUUGUCCCCACACUGAGAAAGCCAGGCAGGAUUGUGUGUCCCCCUCUGCUGCUAUCUGUCCCCCCUUCCACAACUUGCCUGUCAUCUUGUCUUUUGGCAGAGCUGGAAAACUGGGAGACCACCGUAAAUAAAUCCUGUGUCUUUAAGCCGUUUUGUACAGUACAAGAAAAUGCACUCGUUGAAUUACAGCUUUUUAAUCAAAUACAUGUAACCAUGUCACUUAAAGUGCUCGUGAAAAGCAGGGGGAGAAAAAAAACCCCAACACAAUUGGAAGAGCACAAUAUUAAAACCAGCUGCUUGCUUACCCCCACCACAGUUAAUAGUUUUUGAAUGUUCUGAAUGAGAGAGAAACCAGAGCCAAGCUCCACUUUCAUGUCCAUCUUUCUGAUCAAACCCUGUCAGACGGGGGGAGCCGGGCAGCCUGGCACAGAGGCAGGGGAUGCGGGAGGGCUGCGCUUGCCUCUCCUGCCGCUUCUCCCGUCCCCUCAGGCUUUCUCCCCAUGGUGAUGGGGAUGUGGGAAUCCGUGGUUUUCCUGCAGGCAAAGCAGCACAGCCCGGCUGGGACCCAGCCUGGAGAUGGGAGCACAGGUUGCCCAAGCCUUGUGGUGGUGAAGGAUGCUGCCCUGGGACAUCACCGCCGCGUUGCAUGUCCCCCCCUGCCAAGUUCAACCCAACUCCACCUCCUGAUGCUUCUUCCUGCAAGCUGGCAUUGCCGCUCAUCCCCUGCGGGUGCUGAGGCGCCGCGGUGCCCGCAGCAUCCUUUCCUCCGAGCGUGCCGGCGCAGUCCCUCGUGCCACGUCCUUGUGCCCAGUUCCCUUGGGGCACACAUGUUGGGACCACCUCGACGUCUACCUCCGGCCUCGCUGGCCACCAACCCCCCCCAGCACAGCCUGCCAACCACCUCGAGCUGUGCGGUUCCCCCGUAACGUGGACCAACGCUCAUUAAGCGUGAGGCAGAGACCACCAAAUAUGUCAAAACACACUUAAAAUUUAUUGUUUCAUACCAUACAUUUGAGUCUCUUGAACGCUGGCCAGUGUUUCUCCCUCUCCACGAUGGGGCCUAUCUGCUGUCACCGAUGCUUUGCAUAUAUGUAUAGCCGGCUUGCUUUCUAUCUUUUUUUUUUCUCCUCCUUCUUUCUUUAAAUGAAAAAUACAAACAAUUGAUGGAAAAUGUA